GAGGGUAUAGCUCAGUGGUAGAGUGCAUGCCUAGCAUAUGCAUAAGGCCCUGGGUUCAACCCCCAGUACCGCCA
rnacentral:tRNA from 1 species